GCCAGCUUACAUUCUCAAAUUCUCCUCCCGCCUGCUAGUGAGUAUGACAACCCUGUCACCCCUUUGAUGUGUGUGUAGAGCAGGGAUGGUGCUGAUAGAGAGGAGAUCAGUUCAAACCAUCCAGGCACUUCCACUGUUAUUAAUAGUCUCCAAGCUGACAUUCAGCCAAACAAAGGGCACAUGGAGAAUAGACUGCUGAUGGAGUGGAUACAGAGACAAGCUGGUGUCAGUGCCUUUGCGUUUGAACAAGGGUCACCCAGGCACCUACACAGAUGCGAGCACUGUCUACAACAAGGAGAAAACAUCCACAAUUCUGGCCUUGUCAUCCAGAGAGUUUGACCUCUUUAACGGAGAAAUGAACUGACUUUUGAUUUCAGUUGCUGAAUUAUGGACAGGAAGUUGGCUAAUGGUCCAUCCCACUCAUGGUCAUGGCCCUAGAGAGAAUGUCUGAGUUAUCGGUCCACCCAGAGUCUUGUUUAGUCAUUUGUGGCUGCAUUCAAAUAAGAUUAAGCCCAGUGCAGACUGCACAAUGUUGGCUACAAUUUUGCCAUCUAAAACAAUUUAAUCAAAAUUACACUGGAAGAAUGAGCAGUCAAUAACUCCAUCUUUGUAUUUGUCUGUUUUAUCUAUGUGUCGUUGAUUGAUGACGACUAACUGCAGCCGGUGCCAGCCAGACAACUCUUCAGUCUACUACUAUGGAUUUCAGAGGAUGAACUGAAGCCACCUCCAACCAUGGGACAUGAGGUACUUCAUGUGCCACUGCCUGAACCUUGGACUUAGGAUGGACCUCAUUGAACCUCACCGAAAUUACAUGACAGUUGAACUGCUAUACACCUCACUAAUCUCUGCCUGAAUCACCAUAGUCUAAUGACGGACUACACUCUUAAAAUGGAAUACAUAGACUAUCAAUUAGUUGCCAACAAAAGGCUACAUCAGCCAAAUAACAAAGGACAAUGCAUCCAUGUGAAUUUCUACAGUUAAUCCAGGAUGGAUUUCAAAGACAUUAUCAUUAAUCUUACAAUUUGUACAAAAUCUUGUUGUUUAAACACUGGCCCUUAACACUUAUUUAGUUUACUAAUUUUAAACCAUGACUUACACUACACACAAAAACUAACACUGGCAUUAUAUUCAUGCUGUUUAGCCAGAGGGGAACUGGCACCCACAGUGAGUCUGGUUUCUCCCAAGAUUAUUUUUCUCCAUUUACCAACAUAUUAUGGAGUUUUGUGUUCUUUGCCACAGUCACCUUCAGCUUGCUCACUGGGGUUCUAAAUACAAUUAUUAUUUGCUUAUUUACUUAGUUAUUUAUUUUUAUGCACAAUUUACAAUCAUAUUUUUAUCAAUCUGCACCAUGAUGACUUUAAUACUUUAUAGAUAUUACAGUUUAAUUUUCUGUAAAGCUGCUUUGAAACGUUGGUGUUGUGAAAAGCGCUAUACAAAUAAAAAUUACUUGACAUCUUGA